rnacentral:lncRNA from 1 species
AUGUGCCCAAAGGCCUUCCAUUUUCUGUGCCAAGAACAAGUUGAAAAGAGGGACAGAAGUUUGGCAUGGCCACAGUGGAAGAUGGGAAAUUUAGUUGGACAAGGAUGCAUGAAAGAAUGGACCACUACUCUUAAAAACCCAGCUGAGAUUGGCGACAACAGUGUUGAGGCUACUGCAAUAUGCAGGGAAGGCCUGCUGGGGUGGAAACAUCACGCAUGAGUUAAAGGAGAACAAUGGGCGCUGGAGAGCUGAAGAAGCCCUGAGUGUGGUGGCUGUAUUGUGGUUCCUGAGCUUCCUCCAGGCAAGAUCUGAUCACACAUUACACCCAGCAGGGCUGAUGGAGACAUUUAUCACUUCCUCCCUCAACAAAAGGUGCUAAUCAAAGAAACUUUUGCUCUCAGGGGCCAGUUGGCCCCUGUGCUGACUACAGCAAGAGCUAUGCGGACUCUGGUUACUUACUUGUCCUUUCAGAAUGGGACUGUGUCCUUAUGCCUACAAGCCCCAGCCCCUCCCAGUACACACACAGGUGCUCAAUUGCGUUCUUCCUUGGGCAUCUCUGAGUAGCAUUGCUUAUUCUCGACUUAUCCUCCUUGACCAAAAAGCAAAGGGAUCCCCUGAGGUUCCAGAUUUUGGAGAUCGGAGACUGUCUAGAUUGAGCUAGACCAAUGUUGCUCAAGCUGUUUUCAUUAUCACUCCCUAAGGAGCCUUGACAGGUAUUUUUUCCCCUAAUCACC